ACCCUUUAUAAAAUAUUUAAAUUUGCUAUAGAAACCCCAACCAAAUGGGGCAAAGUUGCAAUAAAAGCUUUCUUCUUCUGAUGAUGUGAAAACUAAGAGAGCUAAAAAGAGAACAGGACAGGACAGGACAGGACUUGGUGCUACCUCAUUUCAAAAUCUGUUUGUUUGGAUACAACUGUAGGCAAAGUUUUGCACAUAAAUUAGCCCAAUGUUAAAAAGCAUUCAAACUUACAGGAUGGGGUCAGAUGAUCUCAUUCAACUACGCCACAUUGCUUGCUCAUCACAUGGAAAAAUUAUGCCUCCCAUCCAUCCACCUUUUCUCCAAAUUCAUUCCUUCUUGCUUCCUUUAUCGUCUUCACCACCAUCUUCAGAUGAAAUCCCCAUCUUCGACUCGUCAAAUUCUAACAACGGUUUCACAUCCCCAUUCCAUAUGACAUGAGCAGCCAAAAAUCCAAUAACAGCAGGCACAAUGUAGAGAAGUGCAGGCUGAGCAGCUUGAAACCAAUUCAUGACAAUUAUCGUGAGGACCAAACCAACUGUGUAUCCCACAAAAGCACUGUUAAAGUAUUGACCGUCUUUUCCCCUGGAUGCAUCAAAUCGAAGAGCCAAUGCAACAAAGAUGCCGGGAAUGACAAUGUCACCUAGUCCAAGCAUGGAAAAUGGUCUAGCAGCAUCUGCAGUGGGGAACAAAAGCUUGAUAGGUGCAUCAAAGGAUUUUGCAACACUAACCAUCACUGGAGUAAAGAAAACCCAGAAGAUAUCGUAUACAAACAGUCCAGCCAAAA
rnacentral:misc_RNA from 1 species